rnacentral:rRNA from 1 species
GACGAACGCUGGCGGCGUGCUUAACACAUGCAAGUCGAACGGAAAGGCCCUGCUUUUGUGGGGUGCUCGAGUGGCGAACGGGUGAGUAACACGUGAGUAACCUGCCCUUGACUUUGGGAUAACUUCAGGAAACUGGGGCUAAUACCGGAUAGGAGCUCCUGCUGAAUGGUGGGGGUUGGAAAGUUUCGGCGGUUGGGGAUGGACUCGCGGCUUAUCAGCUUGUUGGUGGGGUAGUGGCUUACCAAGGCUUUGACGGGUAGCCGGCCUGAGAGGGUGACCGGCCACAUUGGGACUGAGAUACGGCCCAGACUCCUACGGGAGGCAGCAGUGGGGAAUAUUGCACAAUGGGCGGAAGCCUGAUGCAGCAACGCCGCGUGCGGGAUGACGGCCUUCGGGUUGUAAACCGCUUUCGCCUGUGACGAAGCGUGAGUGACGGUAAUGGGUAAAGAAGCACCGGCUAACUACGUG